GCUGGGUGUGGUGGUGCAUGCCUGUAAUCCCAGUGGCUUGGGAGGUUGAGGCAGGAGGAUCGCAAGUUUGAGGCCAGCCUCAGCAACUUUGUGAGGCCCUAAGCAACUCAGCAAGAUCCUGUCUCUA
rnacentral:sRNA from 1 species